rnacentral:rRNA from 1 species
AGCGAACGCUGGCGGCAGGCCUAACACAUGCAAGUCGAACGAACCUUUCGGGGUUAGUGGCGGACGGGUGAGUAACACGUGGGAACGUGCCUUUAGGUUCGGAAUAACUCAGGGAAACUUGUGCUAAUACCGAAUGUGCCCUUCGGGGGAAAGAUUCAUCGCCUUUAGAGGGGCACUCGUCUGAUUAGCUAGUUGGUUGAGGUAAUGGCUCACCAAGGCGACGAUCAGUAGCUGGUCUGAGAGGAUGAUCAGCCACAUUGGGACUGAGACACGGCCCAAACUCCUACGGGAGGCAGCAGUGGGGAAUCUUGCGCAAUGGGCGAAAGCCUGACGCAGCCAUGCCGCGUGAAUGAUGAAGGUCUUAGGAUUGUAAAAUUCUUUCACCGGGGACGAUAAUGACGGUACCCGGAGAAGAAGCCCCGGCUAACUUCGUG